UACGUAGGGAGCAAGCGUUGUCCGGAAUCAUUGGGCGUAAAGCGCGCGUAGGCGGCCCUGUAAGUCCGUUGUGAAAGUCAAAGGCUCAACCUUUGAAAGCCGAUGGAUACUGCAGGGCUAGAGUCCGGAAGAGGCGAGUGGAAUUCCUGGUGUAGCGGUGAAAUGCGUAGAGAUGUGGAGGAACACCAGUGGCGAAGGCGACUCUUUGGCCUGUAACUGACGCUGAGGCGCGAAAGCGUGGGGAGCAAACAGG
rnacentral:rRNA from 1 species